GCCUUCGUAGCUCAGUGGAUAGAGCACCCGCCUCCUAAGCGGGGGGUCGCAGGUUCGAUUCCUGCCGAGGGCACCA
rnacentral:tRNA from 1 species